rnacentral:rRNA from 1 species
CUCGGGCCUUGUACACACCGCCCGUCACACCACGAAAGUGAAUUGGACCAGAAGUCACGGUUCUUUCUGUGCCCAAGGUCUGAUUCAUGAUUGGGGUG